rnacentral:rRNA from 1 species
UACGGAGGGUGCAAGCGUUAUCCGGAUUCACUGGGUUUAAAGGGUGCGUAGGUGGGCAGGUAAGUCAGUGGUGAAAUCUCUGGGCUUAACCCAGAAACUGCCGUUGAUACUAUCUGUCUUGAAUAUAGUGGAGGUGAGCGGAAUAUGUCAUGUAGCGGUGAAAUGCUUAGAUAUGACAUAGAACACCCAUUGCGAAGGCAGCUCGCUACACUAUUAUUGACACUGAGGCACGAAAGCGUGGGGAGCAAACAGG